UGUACCUACACAAAUCCGAAGUGAUAAUAUGCAAUAGCCCGAUUCCUGUCUACAAGGUGAUUAAAUUAUACAGAAGGGUGAUUAGAUACGGUAAUCGGUUAUUUUCUGACUGUUCGUUCACCUCAGAUUUGUUCUUGGCAGGGAAACGAGUUGGACGUAGCUCUUCUUUUCCAUGUGCAAACUGCAAAAAAGUUGCACAUCUAUCAAUUCCAAAACGGUCAUGUUUGCGUCAAGAUAUAAAGGACCAGCAUGAUUAAUCAAAGGUGACGACUGCUUUGAUUUUCAUGGUGAGAAAAUCUUAAUCCUCCGAGUAUAUUUACGCGGACAAAAGUAACGGACGGAGUAGCGGAGGGAGCUGACCUGGCAUUUGGAGCCGUAGCGGCAGCUACCUGAAUCUUCCCAGGAGCGGCAAAUCUCGGUCUUGUACAGACUCUUCCCACCGGACGAGGAAGAAGAUGACGUUGUCGAGCCCCCCGAGUCCGUCGCCGACCUCGCGUACCUUCCGCCCGGAGGUAACGAGGCGACCAAAAUUCCAUCCAUGACCAGCACCUCCUCCUCCACUUUCACCGGCGUGGAGAAAAUGCUUGGUGACCACGCCAUCUCCAAGUUCUCCACUGACGAGAGCGGCGGGCGCUUAUAUGAAUCUGGAGACCCGUUGCGGAGAUACCGAAAGAGCGGUGAGUCUCCGAGAUCGAGGUUCUCGUUGUAGGAACCCGCUAGGGUUGGGCUCUUGGACUGCUGGUGGUGGUGGAUGUAGGAGUGGCGGCCCUUUCCGAAUAGCGACUGGUUGUCCAUCUGCAUCGGCAUCAGAAUCCCGCCGUUCAGGCCGCCAUUGAGUCGAGGGAUAUUCGAAUUGCCGCUGUUACUGUGAAGAAGGCCUUCCAUUGGAUGUUGAGCUUUCCUGAAAUUCCAUCGCCAAGAUUCUAUGAAUUUGCCUCUGAAUUAUGCCAAAUCUUGAACUCUUUUAGUUCUCACUAACAAUUUAGGUAUAAAUUUAUCCUAUUCUAUUUA